GGGUGAGUAACACGUGGGUACCUUACCCCAUCAGAGGGGGGAUAACUCUUGGAAACAGGGGCUAAUACCCGCAUAACAGUUUAUGCCGCAUGGCAUAAGAGUGAAAGGCGCUUUCGGGUGUCGCUGAUGGAUGGACCCGCGGUGCAUUAGCUAGUUGGUGAGGUAACGGCUCACCAAGGCCACGAUGCAUAGCCGACCUGAGAGGGUGAUCGGCCACACUGGGACUGAGACACGGCCCAGACUCCUACGGGAGGCAGCAGUAGGGAAUCUUCGGCAAUGGACGAAAGUCUGACCGAGCAACGCCGCGUGAGUGAUGAAGGUUUUCGGAUCGUAAAACUCUGUUGUUAGAGAAGAACAAGGACGUUAGUAACUGAACGUCUCCUGACGGUAUCUAACCAGAAAGCCACGGCUAACUACGUGCCAGCAGCCGCGGUAAUACGUAGGUGGCAAGCGUUGUCCGGAUUUAUUGGGCGUAAAGCGAGCGCAGGCGGUUUCUUAAGUCUGAUGUGAAAGCCCCCGGCUCAACCGGGGAGGGUCAUUGGAAACUGGGAGACUUGAGUGCAGAAGAGGAGAGUGGAAUUCCAUGUGUAGCGGUGAAAUGCGCAGAUAUAUGGAGGAACACCAGUGGCGAAGGCGGCUCUCUGGUCUGUAACUGACGCUGAGGCUCGAAAGCGUGGGGAUCAAACAGGAUUAGAUACCCUGGUAGUCCACGCCGUAAACGAUGAGUGAAAAGUGUUGGAGGGUUUCCGACUUUCAGUGCUGCAGCAAACGCCUUUAGCACUCCGGAUGGGGAGUACGACCACAAGGUUGAAAGUCAAAGGAAUUGACGGGGGCCAGCACAAGAGCUGGAGCAUGUGGUUUAAUUAGAAGCAACGAGAAGAACCUUUCCAGAUCUCGACAUCUUUUGAUCACUAUAGAGAUAUAGCUUUCCGUUGGGGGACAAAGUGACAGGUGGUGCAUGUUUUUAGUUAGCUUGUGUAGUGAGAUGUUGGGUUAAGUCCCGGAGCGAGCGCAACCAUUAUUGUUAGUUUCCAUCAUUUAGUUGGUCAAUCUGGCGAGACUGCUCGGUGACAAACCGGAGGAAGGUGGGGAUGACGUUAAAUCAUCAUCCCCAUUAUGACGUGGGCUACACAGGUGCUACAAUGGGAAGUGCAAGGAGUGGAUAGACGGGGAGGUCAUGCUAAUAUAUUAAAGUUUUUAUCAGUUAGGAUUGUAGGCUGCUAGUCGCCAGCAAGAAGCAGGAAUUGGUAGUAAUAGAGGAUCAGCAUGCCGCGGAGAAGAUGUUCCCUGUCGUUGUCCACACCGCCCGUCACACCAGGAGAGUUUGUAACACCAGA
rnacentral:rRNA from 1 species